GUGUUCACAGACUAGCAUUUUGAUCAUCUCCAGCGACAGGGUAGACAGAGCCGCAUCGCUCAGUCACAGUACGACCCGACUCGCCGCAGAUCUCGCACAGUUUCGUUGUCUCCUACAGAUUUUCCCUCCGCUUGCCAGUGCACUUGAGCGGGGCAGAGGCAAUAUCGGCUACUUCUGGUGCGCCGCGCACACAUAGACGCGCUUGGCGACUGGAAGGGAGAGGGAGACGAGACGCAGCACUCCAGCCGCUCCCCGGCUCAUUAGCUUUGUUGUAUUAUUUAUUUCCAAGGGGGGCGCGUGCCUCUGCAGCUGCGCUGUGCUCAAUUCGACAGCGGACUGGACGAUGACCGAGCUCGUGCCACCAGAGGCGAUACGAUUCGCCAACGGCGAACCCCUUUGCGCGUAUCAGGAGUGCUACCGGUGCUUCGACGGCCGCGACAUUCUCUUCCGCCUGGUGAACGUGGAGAAGAAGCAGUGGUUCUUCUACAACGACACCACAGACACGAUCGCGCAUGUGUGUGCCAUGUUUUAUCCCGGAAGUGUGAUCCGACCGCUGCAGCGAGCAGAUAUGCACGUCAUCCCUGGCCCCACCGGCGUAGCAGACGAGACAUGCUCGAUCGAGGUGACGCUGGACAUCCAGCCGGGGUUUACGGAGUCGUUCAUCGAGGGAGAGCACAAGGGCUUUCACCUUGAAUUUCGGACCGAGACCGCGCCGACAAAGGAGGUCGUCUUCGAGUACAGACGGCCGACGGUGCCAUACGAUAAGAUCUACCGCUGCUUCAAGAACGGCAAUGGGCUGCUGUUCCGCCUGGUGGACGAGCGCGUACGUCAGUGGUUCUUCUACAACGACACUCGUGACUUGAUGAUGAAGGUGAGCGUGGCGUUUGCGAAUAGCGCAGAGGUGCGCCCACUGGGAUGCACCGCCCUUGGGGUGCCGCACGCCGACACCGCACCUGAGAGCGUCGUCUACACCCUCCUCAUCGCGCCUGGUUGCACCGAGCCGUUCAUUGAGGGAAAUCCAGUGACAUACACGCUGGAGUUUGCCGCCGAGCCGCUUGAUGCUCCAGUCACGCCUGCCUUGGAGGAGCCGGUGCAGUAUCUGCACGGGUGCCCCGACGUCGCCGUCAUUCCACACCAGACGCACGUGUUCAAGUGCUUCAAGGAGCACGGCAACGGACUGCUGUUCCGUGUCGUUGACGAUGUAAACACAAUUUGGGCCUUCUACAACGACACGCCAGAUUACGUGAUGACAGCUAAUAUGCGCUACCCGGGCACGAGCGACAUACGCCUUGCUCCGGGGGUGCAGGUUAUCGCCGAUAGCGAGCGCGAGGGCGGUUUUGUUGCAGCGGUCGAGGUGCUGCCCCUCGCGACAGUGCCGUUCCUCGUCGGCGCGCCGGAGCAGUACGAGUUGGCCUUCGCAGCCACCCCUGUCGUCCCUCUGACGCCGUUGCCAACCACUCCAGCGGAGCCGAGCCCCCCACCUCAACUUGCCGCCGCAGCGGAUACGGCUACGACGGUGCCUCCGGCGCUGCCGGUACCCGAAGAGGCACCCGUGUACUGCAACAGCGGACCGGACCUCACCGUGAUGCCAAACAUCGAUGAAGUCUACAAGUGCUUCAAGGACUACGGGAACGGGCUUGUAUUCCGCCUCGUGGACAAGGUUCAACGCCGCUGGGCUUUCUACAAUGACACCACCGACGUUGUAGCCUUGGUGAGGGUGCAGUUUUCCCCCGGAGCGCGCAUUCAGCCGCUGGGGCAUACAGUGCUGGGCUGCGACCUAGAGAGCGGUAGCGUCCUUCACGAGAUCCGCGUGAAUCCGCUCGAGACGGCCCUCUUUGUGGAAGGGGAUGUCGACAUCUUCACCACAAAGUUCGUGGCUGAGCAAAUACAGACCUGACGGCUUCCUGCCACAUCUUCGCCCGCGGUGGGGACUCGAGCGAGCGAGAGAGCGAGAGAACAUUGUUCCUUAGUGCUCCCCUGUCGAGGUAGAGACGGUGCGAGGUUUCGCUGCACCCCCCCCCCGCGCUAGGCAACCAUCGUCCACAUCUGCCAGACAUGCACACGCACGGUGACACACUGCUGUGUUGGACGCUUUCUCUUUCUUUCUCCCUCCCACACCCCUCGCUCUCACAAGCAUAUUCCUUGCACGACAUCUAAUGUUGGUGUGUAUUGCCCUUCACGAUGAAGACAGCGGUAUCGUCUUGGCCGCGAAUACCUCUGUCGUCCUUGCCGGUCCUCUCGCUCUCCUUAAUGUUUUUUUUUUGCCCUCUUUCCUUUGUCUUACGCGUGUGCGUGGCAGUCGUGGCUUGUGUGUCGGUGCCUCACCUCCCCCGCUACCGCUGAUGCCGCCUCAACACCUCCUCUCCCCCUUGUGUCUUACCUUUUUGUAGAUGAGGAGUCGCCACGCGGUGCCGCUGAAGCAUAAACGAAACAACGCAUCAUCGCGCAGACAGCAUCUUCUACCUUGCCACUGAGUAGCGGUCACUCGUGUGAGUGUCCAGGCUACGGCAGGCUGCUGAUUGGUGAUGGGGUGUGCGGCAGUGUGUGUAGCGGAAGGGAACAUAGAUACUUUCUGUGGCCAAAAAAAAAAACUGAAAAUGCAGAGAACGCGCGAUCGCGCACACAUGCAGAAGAGUCGGCUGUCGUCUCGCUUGAUAACACCAUGCGUCUAUUCCGCUUUGUGUUGUCUUCUUCUCGUUGUCGUGUGAAUUCGUUAGCGGGAUGUGGGACUGUAAGGGUGAUCAUGCGUGUCUCUCGGACGUCCCUCUCAUUCCACAGAUAGCCUCUCCCCCCCUCCCUUCCUCCUUCCUCGGCAG
rnacentral:misc_RNA from 1 species